CUGUAUUCCUGAAAUUCGUAUGAAUCAGUUCAAUUGAUACGAAUUUCAGGAAUACAGCA
rnacentral:precursor_RNA from 1 species